CAAGGUCAAGGCACUAGCAGAUCCAGUGUCUUGUGAGGGUUUGUUUAUUGGUUCAUAGAUGGCACCUUCUAGCUGUAUCUCCACAGGGUAGAAGGGGAGAUGGAUCUCUCUUGGGCCUUUUUUUCUUUUUUUGAGACAGUCUCGCUCUGUUGGCCAGACUGGAGUGCAGUGGCACGAUCUCAGCUCACUGCAAUUUCACCAUGUUGGCCAGGCUGGUCUCAAACUCCUGACCUCAGGUAAUCCUCCUGCCUCGGCUUCCCAAAAUGCUGGGAUUACAGGCUGAGCCACCGCACCCGGCCUCUUGGGCGUCUUUUAUAAGG
rnacentral:lncRNA from 1 species